CGGGAUGUGGCCUAAUGGUAAGGCACCAGCUUCGGGUGCUGGAGAUUGUGGGUUCGAGUCCCACCAUCCCGA
rnacentral:tRNA from 1 species